UACAGAGGGUGCAAGCGUUAAUCGGAAUGACUGGGCGUAAAGGGCGCGUAGGCGGAAUUAUAAGUCAAGUUUAAAAGCCCCGGGCUUAACCUGGGAACGAGACGUGAUACUGUAAUUCUUGAGUAUAGGAGAGGAGAGGGGAAUUUCCGGUGUAGCGGUGAAAUGCGUAGAUAUCGGAAGGAACACCAGUGGCGAAGGCGCCUCUCUGGCCUAAUACUGACGCUGAGGUGCGAAAGCGUGGGGAGCGAAGAGG
rnacentral:rRNA from 1 species